rnacentral:rRNA from 1 species
UACGGAAGGCAGCAGUGGGGAAUAUUGCACAAUGGGCGCAAGCCUGAUGCAGCCAUGCCGCGUGUAUGAAGAAGGCCUUCGGGUUGUAAAGUACUUUCAGUCGUGAGGAAGGUGUUAAGGUUAAUAACCUUAGCAAUUGACGUUAGCGACAGAAGAAGCACCGGCUAACUCCGUGCCAGCAGCCGCGGUAAUACGGAGGGUGCGAGCGUUAAUCGGAAUUACUGGGCGUAAAGGGCACGCAGGCGGUUAAUAAGUUGGAUGUGAAAUCCCCGGGCUUAACCUGGGAAUGGCAUUCAAGACUGGUUAGCUAGAGUCUUGUAGAGGGGGUAGAAUUCCAUGUGUAGCGGUGAAAUGCGUAGAGAUGUGGAGGAAUACCGGGUGGCGAAGGCGGCCCCUGGGACAAGACUGACGCUCAUGUGCGAAAGCGUGGGGAGCGAAACAGGGAUUAGAUACC